AUGGCAAAAUAUUGGUGGAGUAGCUCCCUAGAUCGAAAAACAAUGCAUUGGAUUUCUUGGGACAAAUUAGCUACACCAAAGAUCAAGGGCAGAAUGAGAUUUCGUGACUUGCAACUAUUCAACCUUGCACUAUUGGGAAAACAUGGAUGGUGACUCAUGAAUAAUCCAAAUUCCCUCUGUGCAAGAGUUUUAAAGGCAAGGUAUUUUCCGGACACAGAUUUUCUGCAUGCUACUAUACCUAAAUCCUCUUCACCUACAUGGCGUGCAAUUGUGGCCGGAUGUGAUGCUCUCAAUAAUGGCUUGAUUAAGCGAGUAGGUGAUGGGUCAACCAUAUCUAUCUGGGACAGCAAGUAAAUUCCGGGCACCAUGUCGAUGAAGCCUAUGUUGAAACCGGAUGGCACACAGUUACAGUUGGUUAGCGAGCUCAUUGACACAUAUAACUGGACAUGGCGUGCUAAUCUUAUUAGGGAUACUUUCAUACCACCUGAUGAGGAUGCGAUUCUCAAUAUUCCUUUACGUAGCGGAGGCGAAGAUGAUUUUAUGGCCUGGGCAUUUGAGAAAUCUAGGGUCUACUCUGUGAAAUCUUCAGACCGGUCUAAUGUGGCUCAUAAAGAGCGAAAUGCUCCAGAUGAAGGGACGGAUACGGGCACCUCUUUGACUGAUAAGAAGAUGUGA
rnacentral:rRNA from 1 species